UGGACCACAGCUCUGCUUGGUCAUCUCACAACUCAGGAGUGUUUCUGGAGUUAGAACUUUCCUGAGGUGGAUCCUGGAUGUCUCAGUCUCCCCAGGUGACCAUGUGGCCUCAGAAGCCAGAGCUGGAUGUGCUCCUGAUCUUGCAGCCCCUCGUCCUAUGCCUCAUCAAAACCAGGGGUUAUUGGAAUGGACUGAGGAAGGAGAAAAGUAGAAAGGAUCUGAGGGAAGUGGUCUGGCUGAGAGCUUGACAUGGACAGAGUCCUGGCUCUCAGGCAGACACUUAAAUUCUCCUGGUGCCACAGACAUCACAGCUGAAUCCAUUUAAAAGAGGAUGGCAAAUUAUAUAAAUCAUGACCUCAAAAUUCCUUCAGUCUCUCACAGGACACCAGGGAAAUAUUUGUGUUAUCCCUCAGUAACAACCAGGAUCAGGAAUAAAUUUGGAAUUCUUUAAUUUAGGCUCCAGUUCAUUCAUAUGCUUGUUGCUAAAUUAAAUGCUUGAAAUAAUUUCCUGCUAUGAAAAUAUGAGAUUCUUACUAUUCAGAUAAAUAGACUUUUCAAAUCAAAGGCUUGAAAUCUUAAGAAUUAUCUCAAAAUGCCUUUUCAAAAACCUUUUCUGUUUUGGAUCAUAAAAUGUCAAAGGCACACUAUCAUGAACCACAGUUUCUCUAAAUUUAGCUUUACUUAUUAGUAUGCAGUCAUAUCUAAGUUAAUAAGAUGUCAUGCUUAAAAUAAUAAAAUCCAUUUCUUUGGAAGUAUACUGUAUAUAGAUGGGACUACCAGCUAUGAAGGAGUGAAGUGGUUAACAAAUCCUCUCCCUGCAAAGCAAUUGUAAAACUGGACAAAAUUGUCGAAAACAAUUAUUUCAGGGCUCUGGAAAUUGACAAGGGGCAAACAAAUUGAGAAAUUUAUGUUCUCAAGAAACUAUGGAGAUUCAAGUAAACACAGUGGAAAUAUAUGGCAUUCUUGCUGAAACUGCCUCCACCAGUCAACAUGGUUGUUUGACCUGAACAGCACAGGCCUUCACUUAAUUUGAAGUGAAAAGUAGAAACCCACAGUCAGCGGCAAGUGAGAAAAGCUUGCAGAUUUCCUAGCCUGAAGUUUCAAUCCUGGUUGGGAUGAGCAGUAUUGGACUAACCAGAAAUUUAACAGGAAGGUCGUGGAAAUGAACCAGCAUUGAGAGCUUGACAAGCAUUCCAUAUCGCUGUCUGUCUGGGAACCUGUAUGCAUGCACAGUGGAGACCCAAGAGGGCCCAGUGUUAACGUAACACCUAAGGCAGAGAUGAAAACUGGCCCAAAUUUGAAUACAUUUCCCAUUUCAAUCACAGAUCCACCAGUGGCAAAGUAUGGUAUUUGAACACAAUUUCUGACCAGUUAUUGAGUGCUCAUUAAGCUGUGCAGACACAAAGGUGACCCAUAAGAAGCCAACCCUUCCACCUGUGCAAAAAAACAAGUAAGAAUUUUUUUUUUUUGGGAGAUGGAGUUUCACUCUUUCGCCCAGGCUGAAGUGAAGUGGCGGGAUCUUGGCUCACUGCAACCUCCGCCCGCCCUCCUAGCCCCCACUGCCGGGUUCAAGCUAUUCUCCUGCGUCAGCCCCCUGAGUAGCUGGGAUUAUAGGUGCCCACCACCACACCCGGCUAAUUUUUGUAUUUUUAUUUUUAGUAGAGAUGGGGUUUCGUCAUGUUGGCCAGGCUGGUCUUGAACUCCUGACCUCAGGUGAUCCACCUGCCUUGGCCUCCCAAAGUGCUAGGAUAACAGGUAUGAGCUAGAACGCCCAGCCAACAAAUAAGAAUUUUUUAAAAAAAACUGAUCAGGGAUAUCAGCAGAUGCACACUGAAGGGUAACAGAUUCUGCAGAUCAAGUCCGGGCAAGUUAUAAACUAAUAUAAGGUAGCAACAACCAAGACUCUCUGAGGAUGAAAGGAAAAAUGAAUCCAGAGUUCUUAUGACAUAUUAUCUAAAAUAUGAAAUUUUCAAUAAAAGUUUAUGAGUCAUAGAAAAAAAAUGAAGAAAGUAUUAUCCAUACUAAGGGGUGGGGUGGAGGGCAGGAGAGACAUCAAUGGAAAUGGUCUUUGAGUGCUUUAGAUGUUGAUUUAACAGACAGACUUCAAAGCUGCUAUUUUAAAUAUGUUUAAAAAAAUUGAAGGAAAUCAUGCUUAAAUAAUUUAAGGAAAAUAUUAUGAAAGUGACUCAAGUAGGAAUAUC